UACGGAGGGAGCUAGCGUUAUUCGGAAUUACUGGGCGUAAAGCGCACGUAGGCGGCUUUGUAAGUUAGAGGUGAAAGCCUGGAGCUCAACUCCAGAAUUGCCUUUAAGACUGCAUCGCUUGAAUCCAGGAGAGGUGAGUGGAAUUCCGAGUGUAGAGGUGAAAUUCGUAGAUAUUCGGAAGAACACCAGUGGCGAAGGCGGCCCACUGGACUGGUAUUGACGCUGAGGUGCGAAAGCGUGGGGAGCAAACAGGG
rnacentral:rRNA from 1 species